AAAGUCGUAACAAGGUUUCCGUAGGUGAACCUGCGGAAGGAUCAUUACAGAGUGUGAUGCCAUAUGGAACUCAGUUUCGUGUGGUUGACCCUCCACCCGUGUCGAUUAUCUCAUGUUGCUUUGGCGGACUCGGCUUGCCCGCGCCCACUUUGGUGGGGGAAUGUCCGCCAGGGAAGACCAAAACUCUUGUUAUCAGUGAUGUCUGAGGAUGAUAUAUAAUCAUGAAAACUUUCAACAACGGAUCUCUUGGCUCUG
rnacentral:misc_RNA from 1 species